rnacentral:rRNA from 1 species
UAAUAGCUCACUGGUCGAGUCGGCCUGCGCGGAAGAUGUAACGGGGCUAAACCAUGCACCGAAGCUGCGGCAGCGACACUAUGUGUUGUUGGGUAGGGGAGCGUUCUGUAAGCCUGCGAAGGUGACCUGUGAGGGUUGCUGGAGGUAUCAGAAGUGCGAAUGCUGACAUAAGUAACGAUAAAGCGGGUGAAAAGCCCGCUCGCCGGAAGACCA